rnacentral:lncRNA from 1 species
CUUACAGAGCUGGCCGGAAGGACCUGGCAGAAGUGGGGGGCCUGAUGUCCCUUUCGCAAAGCUCCCCAGGGAGGCUGUCUUGUAAGGGAUGCUUCCAUCGCUUGUCAUCUCAAGACUCCCCUGGGGAGGCAUGCAAGACAGCAUCUGCUAGAGUCCACCAGCCAUGCGGGAAGCCUGUGGAAGGUGCUCCUCUCACCAUGACUCCAGCACUUUCUCUGGCUCUUCUGACCCAGCGCACUCUACCUUUGGCCUCCACUCUGCCAGCAGAACCUCCAUCGGCCUUGACCAGAACUCCACUAGGCCCUGUUGCCAUGAGCUCAGCUCCAGGUCACUCCUGUUGGCCAUUUCCCAACUCAGGCCACUGCCACAUGAGCUGUUGCAUUGACUUCCUCUCCCGGUGGAACAUGAUCAAGGUCUUGUUCUUCCCCGUGUCAUCACACUUUGAGUCCCAGCAAGGGCACCUGUCCUGCCACCGACCAGUGGCCUCAUUCUGGGGAGGCCCCACAAAUAGGGAGGGAGAGACUGAUAGCCCUUCAGUUGCCAACCCUGAUGUCCAGAAGCUGCUCAAGACAGAAAUCAUGGAAAGAAUACAAAUGGAGGUCUGGGAAAAAGAACAAGAUGAUCCACACACUCCUCAGAUGCUCGAAGCACACACUAUCAUGUCUGGGCUGAAUUUCCGCUGGGGCCUACCCCUCCUGUCCUUGGGGCCUGCAGAUCUGAAAGCAUAUGAGGCUCAACCCUCGGCCCUUCCACGGUCCCCUUUUCCCCCCGCAGACACCUGAGAUUCUGGGGCCCCCUCGAAAGCUGACUUUGCACACUUCAUGGGAAAACCUCUUGAGCCUCCUCCAGGUGACAAAGUCUUAACUUUGACAACAAAAGCAUCAGUUCCCAGCCUGGCCCAUCCCCUACCUGCUCCCUCACCUGUGUGUGAGCAAAAUCAGAAGGCCCUGGGAGGGACCCUACCUGGCGAUGGCAGUGGGCCCUCAGAGGCCUCUCUCUUGGGACAGGAGGGCCGGCCGCCUUCUCCAACCUUCCCAUUCGGCCUCUCAGAGAGAAAAGGGCAGAGUGGGACCAAACCCCUCAAGCCCCUGCCUGAAAAGGAAGAGGUUUUUCACGACAGCCCUUUCAGAAAAAUGUUGAGACGCCUCCUGCCCUGCCUGAGGCCCAACAAGGAUGAAGCACCAGAGGAUCCCCUUGCAAAGGCAAGCCCGCAUCAGCCACCGCCCAGAGCCAGGCAUGGGUCACACACAGCUCGGCGUCGGAUGGCAGGGCUCUUCAGGCGCCAUCGACAGUGACAUCCUUUGUCUGCGUCCUGGGAGAGAAACUGAGGCUUGCUGAGAACUUCUGGCCUCCCAGUCGAAGCAUCAUAAAAACCAUUUCAGGCCUGGGAAGCUGGACAUUCCUGUUACCACGAUGUUCCCUCCUCCCCAGACCAGAGAAGAACAAUGCAGAGGACAGUCCCCAACCUACCUCCAGGGACCACAACUGUCCGAACACGAGGGAGUGGAUCAGAACAAGCAUGGCAAUUGGACCUUGCCAUCCAGGCAACCGCACUCCCCAGCCAAACCCUGCCAGCCUGGGCUGAGGGUGGCAGCUGCCUCAGCCAAUCCAUUACCCGCCAUGCUGUCCUCAGAUAUGUGUCUCCUGGGAUGAGUAGACUGUGCCUGACACACCUUUCCUCUUAGGAACGCUUAACUCCCCAAAUGGGGAAGUGGAGGAACAGAAAACCUGGUUUUUCUCCUUAUCCCACCUUCUGUGCUAAUGGUGUCUUCCUACCCCAAUUUUCCCCAAAUACAUUUUUUUUCUCCUUAGAGGUCGUAGCUUCUGUCUGUGCCCUGCUAGUGGUAAAAACGGGGUCAGGCUCCGCCCUUCCUGAGUGUCUGCUAUGGCUUCCAGAAGGGACAGGGCCAUGGGGGGAGGCUGACUGCAGCGAGGCUCACCUGCCCUCACCCCAACUCCCCCAUUGCACCUGAAGUCCCCAUCACGCCGUCCUUACAAAAACAAAUGGAAGCUUUGGGCUAUUUCCAGAUGAGCAAAACCUCUAAGACCCCAGCCCAGCAUGGGCCCCGCCUGUCCUCUCCUGCAUUCUCUGGCCCUUGAACUUGUGGGGCUGUAGGGAGGGGUUUGCAGAGGCUCCAGGUAGUGUAGAGACAGGUUCACAGGUCACAGAGUGUGGAGGGGAGUGUGGGGCAGUGCUGGCCCUGAGUCCGGACGGCGAGGAAGCUUGCCCUGCACCCCGAGCUCUUGGUGGGAAGGGAUGAUGCUGCCCCAGCAGCUUCUUCUCUCCCUGCUGAAGCUGCCAUGGAGAUGGGCCUGCACAUCCCUCUCGGCCCAGCGUCGCCGUCCCUCUGUCCUUGUCACAGUCUGGAGCAGCAGCGACAAGGAUGACUGUGCUCCCGGCUCUGAGGGCGGGCGGGUGGGGAGCACGGAUGCUGCUGUGGGCCUGACCCCUCUGCCCAGAGGAGCUCAGAGCCCUGCUCUCCUGCACCUGCCUUCUCCUCCUGGGGAACAGAGCCGGGGGUGAGUGUGUGGGGUCACCAUCUGAUGGUGGGACACUGUGUGCCUAGGGUGGGACGUGGGGGAAGGAGACAAAGUGCCACCAGAGUUUAACCACUUACCUACCAAAUGACAUUUUUUGAUUUUUAUUAUUUUACCCCUUAUAAAUAAAGCUGCCAUGAACUUCUUUGUGAAGGUUUUU